GACGAACGCUGGCGGCGUGCCUAAUACAUGCAAGUCGAACGAACCGCGACUAAGUGCUUGCACUAAGUCAAGGUGAGUGGCGAACGGGUGAGUAACACGUGGGUAACCUACCUCAUAGUGGGGGAUAACAGUCGGAAACGACUGCUAAUACCGCAUAGGACAUAGGAUCACAUGAUCCAGUGAGGAAAGGUGGCGCAAGCUAUCGCUAAGAGAUGGACCCGCGGUGCAUUAGCUAGUUGGUAGGGUAAAGGCCUACCAAGGCGAUGAUGCAUAGCCGACCUGAGAGGGUGAUCGGACACAUUGGGACUGAGACGCGGCCCAAACUCCUACGGGAGGCAGCAGUAGGGAAUCUUCCGCAAUGGACGCAAGUCUGACGGAGCAACGCCGCGUGAGUGAAGAAGGUCUUCGGAUCGUAAAGCUCUGUUGUUAGAGAAGAACAGCGCAUAGAGUAACUGCUAUGCGUGUGACGGUAUCUAACCAGAAAGCCACGGCUAACUACGUG
rnacentral:rRNA from 1 species